rnacentral:rRNA from 1 species
UGAGGAAUAUUGCGCAAUGGGGGCAACCCUGACGCAGCGACGCCGCGUGAGUGAGGAAGGCCUUCGGGUCGUAAAGCUCUGUCAAAGGGAAAGAAGUGCAUGGUGGCUAAUACCCAUGAUGCUUGACGGUACCCCUAAAGGAAGCACCGGCUAACUCCGUGCCAGCAGCCGCGGUAAUACGGGGGGUGCAAGCGUUGUUCGGAGUUAUUGGGCGUAAAGCGCGUGUAGGCGGUUUGUUAAGUCUGAUGUGAAAGCCCCGGGCUCAACCUGGGAAGUGCAUUGGAAACUGGCAGACUUGAAUACGGGAGAGGGUAGUGGAAUUCCUGGUGUAGGAGUGAAAUCCGUAGAUAUCAGGAGGAACACCGGUGGCGAAGGCGGCUGCCUGGACCGAUAUUGACGCUGAGACGCGAAAGCGUGGGUAGCAAACA